ACACACUGGAUUCUUGUGAUUGUCAACAUUUCUGCACAGAAAAUACUGCUCAUAGACCCCAUGGGAAUGAAGGUGUUUAUGACAGGAAAAUUCUAUGCAACUGGAGGAAUUUUCUGAGGAUGAGAGGGCAUGAAGACACCAUGGAGUGGCAGUUACACACUAUGCAACACAACAAGCAACAGGAUUCCAGCAGUUGCGGAGUUUUGCUGUUAAAGUUUGCAGAACAGUACCU